UAUAAGCAUCAGUAUUUAACUAACCAGUUUGCUGUGAAAUUUCACAUGGUCGAAUUAUACAAGACACAAAGACUUCAAGUCGUUCCAUAAAUGCAUCAGCUCCUUUCGAAAAGUAUUGGAGUUUAGUGGGAAUUUCUUCAGCAUUGGGCAUUUUACAAUUGAUAUUUUCUUCAGCCGUGGGAAAGGCAGAGCAUGGUAGUAUAUUGUAUUCAUUUAAGUGGUUUUAUAUUUUAUUUAAUUAAAAAUUUUGUUUCUAAAAUUUUAAAGCUAAUAUAUCAUUUAAUAUUCG